AGUGAACGCUGGCGGCGUGCUUAACACAUGCAAGUCGAACGAGAACGGAAUAUAGCUUGCUAUAUUUGUCAGCUAAGUGGCGCACGGGUGAGUAAUGUAUAGAUAACCUGCCCUUAAGGAAGGAAUAACAGUUGGAAACGACUGCUAAUGCCCUAUAUGCCUUUAAUACAUAAGUAUGCAAGGGAAACGCUUUAGUGCUUAAGGAUGGGUCUGUAUGGUAUCAGCCUGUUGGUGAGGCAAUGGCUCACCAAGGCUAUGACGCCUAACUGGUUUUGGAGGAUGAUAAGUUACACCGGGACUUGGACACGGUCCAGGAUCCUACGGGGGGGAGGAGUGGGGAAAAUUGCAAAAUGGACGGAAGGCUGAUGCAGCAACGCCGCGUGGAGGAUGACACAAUUCGGUGCGGAAACUCCUUUUAUAUAGGAAGAUAAUGACGGUACUAUAUGAAUAAGCACCGGCUAACUCCGUGCCAGCCGCCGCAGGAAUAC
rnacentral:rRNA from 1 species